rnacentral:misc_RNA from 1 species
UUGGAGAUGUUUGAACAAGGACAGAGUAUUGCAUUAUAAGCCAGAAGAAUGUGCAAAAAUUAUUAUUGCAUGUUGUGUAUUUGCAUAAUAUUGCACUUCAAUAUCAUGUUCCAGACCCAGCUGACAUUUUCAUUGAUGUAAAGGUUCCAACAGAGCGGCAAGAUGUUUCUCAAGAAAGUGAAGCCAGUACAGAUUUACUCUUAGGAAGAGCACUAAGAAGUCAACUAGCUAGAAGAGUUGCCGAGAGCCAUUUAAAUCAAUAAAUACUGAAUAGAAUAAUUAAUUCUUAUUCUUUUAGUUCGAACAAUUUCCCCCUUCAAAACAGAAACAUUACACAUUUUUUUAAAAUAUGUCAGAAUCAGAAGUAAAAUGCGUUGAAAUGAAAUAAAAACAUUUAUUUCGUCAUAAGGUGAUAUACACACUUCACGUAAAAACACAAAUAAAAUUUAAAAAAAAACUAGACAAUAAUAAAAAAA